rnacentral:rRNA from 1 species
GACGUAGGGCGCGAGCGUUGUCCGGAAUUAUUGGGCGUAAAGGGCGCGUAGGCGGCCUGGCAAGUGGAAGGUGAAAUCCCUCGGCUUAACCGAGGAACUGCCCUCCAAACUGCUUGGCUUGAGUCCGGGAGAGGUGAGUGGAAUUCCCAGUGUAGCGGUGAAAUGCGUAGAUAUUGGGAGGAACACCGGUGGCGAAGGCGGCUCACUGGGCCGGAACUGACGCUGAGGCGCGAAAGCGUGGGGAGCAAACGGG